rnacentral:rRNA from 1 species
UACAGAGGUCUCAAGCGUUGUUCGGAUUCAUUGGGCGUAAAGGGUGCGUAGGUGGUGACGCAAGUCUGGUGUGAAAUCUCGGAGCUCAACUCCGAAAUUGCACCGGAUACUGCGUGACUCGAGGACUGUAGAGGAGAUCGGAAUUCACGGUGUAGCAGUGAAAUGCGUAGAUAUCGUGAGGAACAUCAGUUGCGAAGGCGGCUCUCUGGACCAGCACUGACACUGAGGCACGAAAGCGUGGGGAGCAAACAGG